UACGUAGGGGGCAAGCGUUGUCCGGAAUUAUUGGGCGUAAAGAGCUCGUAGGCGGUCUGUUGCGUCCGCUGUGAAAACUCGGGGCUUAACCCCGAGCCUGCAGUGGAUACGGGCAGACUAGAGGUAGGUAGGGGAGAAUGGAAUUCCCGGUGUAGCGGUGAAAUGCGCAGAUAUCGGGAGGAACACCGGUGGCGAAGGCGGUUCUCUGGGCCUUAACUGACGCUGAGGAGCGAAAGCGUGGGGAGCGAACAGG
rnacentral:rRNA from 1 species